rnacentral:rRNA from 1 species
UACGAGGGGGGCAAGUGUUGUUCGGAAUUACUGGGCGUAAAGGGAGCGUAGGCGGGCUCUUAAGUUGGAUGUUUAAAACCGGGGCCUAACCCCGGCGUGGCAUCCAAAACUGGGAGUCUUGAAUGGGACAGAGGCCAGUGGAAUUGGAGGUGUAGCGGUGGAAUGCGUAGAGAUCUCCAAGAACACCAGUUGCGAAGGCGGCUGGCUGGGUCCACAUUGACGCUGAGGCUCGAAAGCGUGGGGAGCAAACAGG